UCUCCGUUGGCGAACCAGCGGAGGGAUCAUUACCGAGUGCGAACUCAUAACCCUUUGUGAACCUAUAUCUGUUGCCUCGGCGGCUCGCUCUCGGGCGAGCCCGCCGGUAAUAUCAGUAUCUCUGUUUGAACCCGACGAUACUUCCGAGUGUUCUUAGCGAACAGUUAAAACUUUUAACAACGGAUCUCUUGGCUCUA
rnacentral:misc_RNA from 1 species